CAUCCAAAAAGAAAUUGCAAAGAAUAAAUACUAAGGUUAAAUGGGUUUGGAGAAUACGUGACAUAAUAAAAGUAAAUGACAAUUGAAUACAGGGAUCAAUUUGUACCUAGUUUGAUUUCAUAUUUGAAGUGCAUGAUUUGGUAGCUUUCCAGCAGAGCACUAUAACAAGCAAAUAGGAUUAGAUCACACCUAUAUAUCCAAAAAAGAAGAACAAUAAAAAAGUCUCAUAUUUCUCUUAGAUACUUGCUAAUUUGUGGGUGACACAAUUGAAAUAAGGGAUAAUGAAGGAGAAAAAUAUAAUGGCCUAAAAACUUAAUGAAAUAUGUGAAAUUUGAUUUUAUGUGAUUUUACUAUUUUACCCUUGCCCAAAGUUGUAUUGUGGUACUUUUGUGGUGUGAAAGUGAUUGGCACUUUUUUUGAUGCAUUUUGUUACAAUUUAUGCGAUAUUGUAGUUUUGGAUCGCCUUUAGAGCCUAAUUUUGGACUUUUGUGAUUAUCUUUUGAUCCGUGUGAUGUAUGGAUGAACAGACUGUGGCAUUAAAUUCAUAAAAUUAAUUUUAGGGUGGUAAUAUAUUUGGUGUGGUUUCAUGUCUUUUUAAUCUCAUUUUGAUCCUCAGUUUAAAAAUUAUAACUUUUAAUUUUGAGAAUCAACUUAUUGAAAAUAAUAUCUUUUCAAAGAUUCAACUUCGCUAACGCGUCCAUAAUAUCAAAUUUAUUGGAGUUGCAUAGUUCAUUUGCAUAAAUCAAACUCCGAACGGAUCCCGAGCACCCCGUCGAAGUCAGUUUUAGACUUAAAAAGCUGGUGCACCAGGUUAACUGGUACACAAAGGCUAAAUGCAUUCAAGGGGUGCAUUUUAUGCCUUUUUGUGCCUGGUAACCUGGUGCAAGUAUAAAAAGUCCCUUUUACUCGAUUUUGCCGAUUCUUUCACCUUGUCUCUUGAGAGUUGAACCCUAAAAUACUGUGAGAUCUUAAAAGUGAAGCUUGUGGGAUCUUGGAAAGCUACAUUAACAUUUAUUUCUUGAUUCUACUGUGGAUUUAAGGUGAGAUUUCAUCCUUUUCUACUCUAAUUCCUUGAUUAAUUUCUCAAAAUUUCAAAAAAAAAAAUUGGACUUGAUUUUAAACCCUAGUUUCACUCCCUUUUACUUGAAUAAUAUUUUAAUCCUAUAAUUAUUAAUUUUGUAUUAAUUUAACCUUCAAAACAACUUCGAUUCUUGAUUUUAACAUGGAUUUCAAAGAUUUUACUUGAUAAAGCGUAAAAUGAUUUUUUAUUUGAACCUAGUUUUUGACUUGAUUUGACUUGAGUUUUCAACUAUAGAUUCCUAAAAAUGUGAAGAACAUGUUUUUGUAAUAAAGUUUUGAUUUUUCCCUUCUUUUUCAAAAAUCUAUCCAUUUUGACUCCAAAUCAAAAGUAGGCAGUAUGAGUAUUAUUAGCUUUUUCUUUUAUGCAUAAAUUUUAUAUUUCUUUAUUUUAAUUAAUUUCGGGAUCGUUCGUGAGAAGUAGGGUUCUGUGGUUCAAUUGUUGCAAAUUGGUUCUAGCAUUCGAGGUGGUUAUAGCUUAACUCUUUUAGACUAGGUUGAGUAGUAAAUGUUGUUACAAAAUGCAUGUUAAGGGGAGGAACUAAUCAUGAAAAAUAGUUAUCUAUGUGUUGUGCCAGUGUAGGAGCCUAUAUGUGAUGUAAUUGUUGAAAUUAAGAUAUUAUAUGAUAUGUAUAACUGUGUGGGGUCCUAUAUGAUGUUGAUAGACUUGAAUACAUGUGAUUAAUUGUAUUGUAUGGUUUCAAAUGCCUUUUGUGGUACCUUUGGUGGAUUGUGAUAUAUAUAUAUAUAUAUAUAUAUAUAUAUAUAUAUAUAUAUUCAUACUUUUGACAUAUGAAACAUGUGAAAAUUCAUGGUUGAAUGGAAAUAAUAAGUGCAUAUUGGCUCAAGUGGAUUUGGAAAUAUAUCAUAUGGUUGGUUGUGAAAAUACUCAUUGUUGAUACCUAAUUUUUGCCCUCUAUGACUAAAUUUAAUCCUGAGUUUCUUCAAUUUUUAAUAAACCAAAAUAAUUAUUUCAUCCAAAUAAAAAAAACUUAAAAUAUUUUUCAUAUGUGAUUUUGUUAUUUUAAGUAGCGAUUAUAUACUAUCGUGUUCAGUUAUACGAGAUUAUAUAAUUUGUUACUUAAACAUUUAUUUUACAAAAUAUCGGAUUUAAUUAAGGCUUAUCUUGAAAAUAAAUUCAAAUGAUUAAAAUCUUAAUUUAAAUAUAAUUUAUUCUCAAAAAUAAUUUAUUUGGAUAAAUAUGCAUUCAUUUUAUUAAAUCAAGAAGCUCGGGAUAAAAAAAAAGGUAUUAAUUCGUAUCGAAUUUUAAUUUAAUUUAGCCAAUCUAUUANNNNNNNNNNNNNNNNNNNNNNNNNNNNNNNNNNNNNNNNNNNNNNNNNNNNNNNNNNNNNNNNNNNNNNNNNNNNNNNNNNNNNNNNNNNNNNNNNNNNNNNNNNNNNNNNNNNNNNNNNNNNNNNNNNNNNNNNNNNNNNNNNNNNNNNNNNNNNNNNNNNNNNNNNNNNNNNNNNNNNNNNNNNNNNNNNNNNNNNNNNNNNNNNNNNNNNNNNNNNNNNNNNNNNNNNNNNNNNNNNNNNNNNNNNNNNNNNNNNNNNNNNNNNNNNNNNNNNNNNNNNNNNNNNNNNNNNNNNNNNNNNNNNNNNNNNNNNNNNNNNNNNNNNNNNNNNNNNNNNNNNNNNNNNNNNNNNNNNNNNNNNNNNNNNNNNNNNNNNNNNNNNNNNNNNNNNNNNNNNNNNNNNNNNNNNNNNNNNNNNNNNNNNNNNNNNNNNNNNNNNNNNNNNNNNNNNNNNNNNNNNNNNNNNNNNNNNNNNNNNNNNNNNNNNNNNNNNNNGCUAAUCAAAAUUUUUGAGUUGCCGGUGACGUUUUUCGGUGGUGGUUGAUUCCAACGAAGCUCGUAGACUCGUUUUGCUGCCCCCUAAAAGGUAAACACACCUUCUUUUUUCUUUUUUUAUUAUUUUAGUUUUUAUUAUCGUUUUUCUCUUCAUCUUUUUUUUUCUUUAUAGUUCGUAGAUAUAAUUUUAUUUGUUGGAAUUGUAUGUUGUAGAUGGCCUUGAAGGCCCUUGGACGUUGUGGUGUCGCUAUUCUAAUUAUUUUCAUGUUCAUAAUAUAAAAAUGAGCUAGCAAUAGUUGUAUGUGUCUUUUUUUACUUUAUUCUUUGAUUACUUUGGAUAAAGUUUCAAUCUUUGCUUAAAAGAAGUAUUUAUGCUUUUUUUAAACUCAUUGUUGUUGGAUACAUUUGUUCUUAGUAUGUAAAGUUAUUUUGUUUAUGUUUAGAAGAAUAGUUAAUGUUGAAUAUUUUACCUUUUCACCUUAUUCUUUGAUUAUUUGAAUAAAGUUUAGAUAUUUACUAGAAAAAACGAUAUUCAUGUCUUGUUUAAACUUAUUGUUGGUAUAUAUAUUUGUUUUUAGCAUGUAAAGUUAUUUCCUUUAUGUUGAAAAGAAUAGAUAAUAUUGAUUGUUUCUCUUUUCUUACUUUAUUCUUUGAUUAUUUUGAAUAAAGUUUAGAUCUUUACUUGAAAAACAAUACUCAUGUCUUGUUUAAACUUAUUGUUGGUAGAUAUGUUUUUUUUUAGCAUGUAAAGUUGUUUAUUUUAUGUUGGAAGAAUAGUUAUUACUAUUUGUUGCGCCUUAAUAAAAAUAGUAAUUAGUUAAGUUAAGAAUUUGUCAUUUGCUUACUAAUUAUUUUAAUGGAUUUUAAAACUCUCAUAUAAGAUAUGAAGUGCUAGCUUUAUUUUUCAUCUAAGAUGUUUAUUCUUCUUUGUUCGCAUGUUGUCUUUUCAAAAUGCUAAGAAAGUUCAAAUUUUUGCCGCUAAAUAAAAUUAUUUGGAUAUUUUUGACUCAUGCAUAGUAUGACUGUGAAACUUUUGCUUUGCAUUUUUUAUUUGUUGACUCUCAUUCUUGUGCAAGUGUGCUUAUUCUUGUCAUUCAAAAAUUGGUUCUUGAUAGUUUCUUUUACUUUGAAAUAUGUCACUUUUAUGCCUUGAACAUAUAUUAAUUUCUUUGUCUUUUCUUUGCAUGCAAAAAAAGAUAUCUCGAGUCCAAAUGGACUCCUCUCCUCCUGUAUUUCGUAAUGGGUAAAUGAGGCUCACCCCUUCGAGUCAAGUUCGAAGUUUAAACCCAAGGUCCAUUACAUGGCGUACGGGUGCUAGAAGAUAGACAAAGAAGGAAAAUGGGUCAAAACCCAUUGAUGAGGUCACUAAAAGACUUGAAAAGUCUCAAUUUUUAUUAUUGUCUUCUUUUUAUUUAUUCAUUUAGUCAUUUAUUUAUUCAUUCAUUUCAACCUCGAACACAAAGUUGUAUUUAAUACAGGUGGAGCAAGACUCGAGCCAAAGGCUCAAAAAAUAGUUUAGGACAGGUGAAAUGGGUUGGAAGCCCAACUAGACUAGGACAGGUCUCGUUGAUUUGGGCCUAAUGGUCUAAAUCCUUUUUACUUUCUCCUCCCUUCCCUUUUUAUGUGUUUAUUUAUUUAUUAUUUUUGUUUAGACUUAGUUAAAAUCCCUACUAAGUUGCCUAAAUCUAUUUUACACAAGUCUUUUUUUGAAAAAAUCAAAUCUCUAUUUCAGCAAAUUAAUCUUUUUGAAGUUAAUCAAAAGACGAUUUUCAAACAGUCCGGAUAACCACAAGUUAGCGGACGUUUUAGGUGCCUAACACCUUCCUAAAACGUUAAUAGGAACCGCUUAUCUAGAAUCUCUAACUUAAAACGAUUUCCCUAUUUUGAAUCGUUUAAAAUGUUUUAUAAAGGUUUCUUAAUUCCUUUUCAAAAAUUAAGUGGCGACUCUCUUCAAAAAGUCAAAAUUUCUCCGCAAAACACUCAUUGUGAUUGAUUAUGAGAAUUACAUCCUCAUAUCAUACUCAUUCAUGAAACAAAUGGUACUACCAUGGCAAUACCUGAAAAAUAUUAGCAACACCUUUUUAUCACAGAAAAUGUGACAUCUUAUAAAACCCUCCCCGAGGGAUGUGCCAGGGAGGAGAUAUAUAUGGAUAUAUAGAGAGAGAGAGAGAUUGUAUAUGGGUUGACGAACCCCUUAUAGAUCCCACAGCAGGAGGCUUGCCUCCAUGGGUGUAUACGGGGAUUGUGCGACGAUCCCAGAGGUUGUGUGACGACCUCGUACAUUAUCAUCACUAUCAUCAUAUACAUUGCACUUGCCUUAUUGUGUUUACGUUGUUCUUUUGUUGUCAUGUUGACUUGUCAUCUAUCUAUUUGUUCUAUAUCUUGACUUGUUAAUGCCUAAUUCUUCUAUCUUCCUUUACUUGUACUUGAUGAUCUUGAUUAUACAUGUUCCUCUUUUGUUCAACUUUUAUGUGAUAUUGUGUAUAUUUGUAUCCCUAUCUAGUUUUUUGUAUUAUGUGUGGAUAUAAUAGAACUUUUAGUACAAGAGAUAUGGGCUACCAUUGUGGGAUAUUUUCUGAUUAUAGGUGACAUGCCCUUAGUGUAUAUUUUUUAUACUUCAUUUACUACUUUGCUUGGUCAGUCUAUGAUACCUGCUGAGUACAAUUGGACCGUAUUCACACCUACUGUGCCUUUUCGAUGUAGGUCCUAUCUCGAGUGCACCUCGGCUUACUUGACUCGGGUGAUUGUUGAAGCUUCCAAGGUAGUGGUUGGAAAUUCAUGAGUUCAAAGUUCACCUCUAUCUCUCUAUAGUAGUUAUGUCUUUAUUAGUAUUUAGAGACAGAUGUUGAUCUUAUGUGGAUAUUUCUAAUGUACUUGACUCAUGGUUUGUAUUAGUAGUUCUUACACUAUUGACACUUGGUUUUGGGAAUAUAUGGUAUUUAGAUAUGUUCUUUCCACAUUGUUAUAAUUACUUGUAUGGUUCAGUUUCAUUCUAGAAGCCUUGCCUUGGGAUAUUUCUAUCUUUUCCUCUUUUUGUAUCAAUUUGGGUGAUAGGUUUACCUGUCAAGGUAGGCCGCGACAAAUGCCAUCAUGGCCCUCGUUUUUGAGUUGUGACAAAAAGACAAGUGAUAGGAUCAUGAAUGUAAAGGAUAAAUUUUCUUUUUAUGUCUCCUAUGGAUGAAUAUCUAAAUUAUUUCAGUUGGUAAGAUAACCACAACAUGCCUCAAUUAAACAAUAUGGAAAAACGUAUACAUGAAAAGUAGAAAGCUGAUUGAAUUUUCUAUCAAGUCUAGAUAUUAAAGGUAGAAUCAGAUGGAACAAACUAAUUAUUCUGAGCGUCAGGUGGAUUCAAAAGGGAACAACACUCUAAUAAAAUUGGCUAUAUUAAUGCCUACAAAUAAAAAAAUAGAUGUUUCGCCAUGAAAAAUUGAUAUGAAAGAUCAAAAUACUACCCAUAGUUGCUUGCUUUAACUGAUAGCCCAUCUAGAAAAGCAUUUGACAUAUGACGGCCUAAAUAGAAUAGAAUUUUAAUACCAUAUUGCUACGUAUCAACAAGAUGUAGAUGAUAUUUGACAUCAUCUACUCCAUUGAGAAGUAUAGAUAUGCUUUGAUGGAGUUCUAAAUCCUAAUCAUUCAUUGAAAGUUAAAUGUUUGAAUAACAUUUUGUUUGGGUGCAAUCGACACAAUGUAAAUCUAAGUUAAUCUAACUCUUCACUUUUGGUUCCGCACUCGUGUUGACACAAUAUAGUUAUGGGUGUGGGUGUGGGAUUCGUACCCGAUCUAGUCAAUUGAUUUUUGAUACUUUGACCAAAAUCGACUGAAAAAGUUCAAACAAAUUUAAUAAUUUCUAUAAUCAAAACAAAAGUUAAGGUAAACUUGAAGAAAAUAGAAUAACUUGUACAUAGAAAUUCCUACGUUACUGCUUUCCUUUUAUCUUCUUUGAGGAUUCUCCUCUUGAUCAAUAUUUUCUCAUCAACUUUUUCAUAUAUUAUCUUAUAAUUUAGGUUUUAUAACUAUAUAUUCAAAUAUUUGAAUUAGUUUUAGCUGAUUUCCCGCACCAGUAUUCAUACCUGGAUUCAUAUUCCUGAAUCUUAAAAUUGAGAUCAUAAAGAAACCGACCUCUAGAUCCACACCCCUAUCAGACACCCACACCCGAAUUCGAGCUAUUUAGAUGUAAAUAAAUUUUUUUCCAUUCAAUCCAACACCAAAGGCUCUCACCUCUUGUGGUGAUUAGGCAUUUAACAUAGACCCUUUCUUGUUUAUUUAUAAGUGAAAACAUUACAAGGAGAGGAUAAGAUACAAAAAAAUCCCGAGCAAAUAUCAAGAAAAAUCAUAUUUUUAUAUCGACAAUGCAUAUUAUGCAAAAUCCAGAUAAAAUUUGCUCCACAAAUCUGCUAAAUGUGCUAAGCAUCCUAAAGCAAAGUACUCACUAUAUAACAUUUAAAUAGACAAAAAGAUUUACAAGGCAGCAGAAAACAAAACAACAACCUUGGCAAGAACAGGCAACAACCUAUACUAAUGGACCACGUAAUUUCAAAGUGAUAUUUGAUGGAUUCAUUUGACAAGAAUAUUGACAACAUUAUUAACUUAACCAUGUUGAAGAAUGAUUUGUUUAGUCUCUGUAGUAACAAUAUUAAUAAUUUAGAACAAUUUAAUAAUUUUUUCAGCCCCAUAACCUGAUCUAAGAACUCAAUGAAUAUGUACAUAGCUGCAAUCUUCUGCGUACUUAUAAAUGAAAUGCUUAUUUUAUGAAAGAAGGACAAUGUAUGCAAAGUAAUAGCAUCUUAAAAAAGUGUGGUAACGCACAUUUUAUAACAUAGAAUUUUCUUAUUAGAGAAAAGAAUCUUAAAAGUUGUUUAGAAAUUUUCAAUGUACAGAAUCGCUUUUUUAUAAAGAAUAUGUAAAAAAAAUCUAAAUAUCCUACCUGAAAAAAGUAACCAAUUAUGGACGAUGCAAUUUUAUUAAAUUUAAAUUCGUACAAAAUUCAGAUUAUAUUAAAUUCAAAGAAUAUUAGUCCCAAAUAGAUAUUGUGGAUUAAUAUAAUUGAAUUAAUUAUUUAAGUCCAAAUAGGUAUGGAUUUAAAUAAGGCCCAAUAUUUAUUGGGUUAGUCCAUUAAUUUGGGCUACAAGUGAUGAGCCCACUUUACUAAGCCCAAGAUAUUGUCAUAUUCUAUAGGCCCAAAUAAGCACCACAUGUCAAAUAACGUGGCAUGCCAAGUCAAGUGAAGGAGCCAAUAGGACCGUGCCACAUUUCAAACUGAUGCAGUAGGCCCAUGAAACAAAAGCCCAUAAAAGGCACCACAUCACUUAAAUCUGAUUGGUCAAAGGAAGUCUGUAUUCAUCAUGACUCUUCCUUUCCUACAACUAUGAAUAAGGGCCUCAUAAUUUAGAAAAAGAACCCCCAGAACUCUAACAAUUAGCAAUAUAAAACUCGUGGAUCAAACGCCACAAUUUCUCUAAAAAACUCAAGCAUUCAAAUCAAGUUCAUCAAGAUUCAAGAUCAAGACCGCAAUAUUCAAGAACAAGCUCAAAAGCCCUUGAAUUCAAGCACAAGUCAAGAUCAAGUCCCUCAAAGAAUUCAAAUCAAGUUCAAAUUCAAGAUCAAGCUUUAAGCCCUUGAAUUUAUAUUUGAAAAGGCGAAUUAGAGGAUUCAUAGAGAUUGUAACACUCAUAUAUUGAAAUCAAUAAAUUGAUUGUUGCAGUAUAUUUUCUUGUCUCGAUUAUUUAUUUUCAGCCUCAAAAUUUUACUGUCGAAAAAAUUCUGACACGUCCAGUGGGACAAUCUCUACCUCUCAUCUUAACUUUUCAGACUUUAAAGAUUAAGAACUCUGAAAUGACUUCCAAGAAGUUUAACUCUUAAUCAACUUCUUCCAAGGCUGCUGAUUCAAGGUUCUCUGCCGAAGUGAAAAGCAUCCUUGGUAUUACUUUUGGAAGUUUAGUAGCUGUCACGAGGAGCAAGGCAGGCUUUCUAGGACAACAAAUACAUCUAGUGUUAUCCAUGCCAACUCCAGUUUUUGGAUCUUCAACCCCAAAAAAUCGAAGUCCAAUACAAGUGCUUCGGAAGGAGGAAGCAGUGUCAUGGAAUCACUUAAGAAGACUCUUUCUCUACUUGAGCAUUCUGGUUCCAAAUACUCUGGUGUAAAGAACGAUGGUCAUUCAAUAAACGUGUCAUCUCUACUUACACAGCAUAAGUUAAGCACUUUGAAGAUGAACCAAUGCGAUAAUCCAUGUUACUCUACGACAUCUCCUGUGAUCAUGCAAGCAAAGGUAACUGAUGCCUCAUAUAUAGAGGAGCAGCUUUCGAAUCUGGCAAAGGCAAUUGAAGGCCUGACCAACUAUAUUCAGAAUCAAGAGGCUAGGAUUGAUAAGGUAGUGGAUAAGGUGAAAGGCUUGAUAGAAUAACAAUCUAGACAUGCACUGGGAAAAGCUCUAGAGGUUUAUGAGAUAGAAAAUCCUGUGAAACAAACACCACCGACUAAAGAGGUGUAAGUUUCUGCUGAAGAAAUGAUCCCGAUUGGGCAAUUGAGGGAAUUCAUUGAAGGAACCCUCAAAGACAAGUAUGAUGUUGUCACCAAGUAUUCCCUUAUGUAUGCCAAGCCCUACACUGCAAGAAUAGAUAGCCUCAAAAUGCUUGUCGGCUAUCAACCCCCCAAAUUUCAAUAAGUUGAGGGCAAAGGUAAUCCGAAACAACAUGCCGCACACUUUGUUGAGACGUAAUAAUGCUGGAACUUACAAUGAAUAUCUUUUCUUCUGAAGAGUUAGCUACUCAUGAUCACUACAUGGAGUUGAGUAUGUCUUCUGCUGGAAAGGAAGGAGCACCUAUUCAUGACCCUCGAAAGGGAAAGAAAAAGUAGGAACCCAAAAGGUGGGGCAAGUUUGUUUCCAAAAAUGAAAACAAGGAGUCCAUGAAUGUUGAUGUGUCUCCUAUGAAGGUCACCACAAAGGUGAUCAAGAAGUAAAGGGUGAAGAAGACUUCUGGAGCACGUCCGAAUAAGAAAACUUUAAAGGAGAUGCAAGAAAAGGAAUAUCCCAUCCUUAAUUUUGAUAUUGCUGAGAUUUUCGAUGAACUACUUGAGCAUAAACUCAUUAAAAUUCAAGAGAUGAAGCAUCCCAAUGAAGCUGGAAGGACCAAUGACCCUAAUUAUUGCAAAUAUCAUAGGCUCGUAAGUCAUCCUCUGGAAAAGUGCUUUGUCUUUAAAGAUAAAGUCAUGCAACUGGCAAAAAAGAAGAAGAUCUUCUUCGACGAUGAGACGGCCAGUUCUCAUCAAAUCACUAUUACUUUUGGCUCACUUGACCCAGUCCAAAUAUGUAUCAAAGAGCAUAAUAAGAAAAUAUUAGAGCCUGACAGGUCUUUAGUUGACGAAGUCAAUGAUGAAGGUAGGACUCUGGUGAUGAGGCGUAGACGUAGUAGGAUGAGUCUGUGAAAAGAGUCGUCCAAACAGCCAACCAUAAGGAGAAUGGUAAAGAAACCAAGAAAAGAUAAGUUGGAUGGAUUCCCAAAGAAGACAAGGGUGACAGAGCUUCACCACCAAAAACCUCGGUGUCCGAUGACUUUAGAGGAAUUCUUACCGAGUUGGUUUCGUGUAAAGACUACCCACGUCAACCUUGAGGCAUCUUGUUUUAAUACCGCCAAAGAGGGGGAAAAGGGUGAGAAUCUACUUAUGGAGGUUCCUUCACCUUCCGAAAAGCUUGCUGAAACUUUUGGCGAAGAGGCAUAUGUGUGUGAUACAAAAAUCACAUUCACAAAUAACGAUCUUCUACUAGGUGAGGCCCUACAUAAUCGUCCCUUAUACAUGGUGGGUUAAAUUUUAUAAAAGAAGAUCAAUAAAAUCUUGAUAGAUGAGGGGUCUGGAGUCAACAUCCUGCCUAUCUGCACGAUGAAAGAACUUAGCAUCGCUACUAGCAAACUGGGUAAAAGUCGUAUAAUGAUCCAAGGCUUCUAUCAAGGGGGCCAUAAGGCCAUAGGAUUUACCAAGUUGGGGAUUUAUAUGGAUGAUUUUCAAUCAAAUGCAUUGAUGCAUAUAAUUGAUGCCAAAACUUCAUAAAACAUAUUGCUUGGUAGGCCUUGGGUACGCGGGAACAAAAUUAUCUCAUCCUCUUACUAUCAAUACUUGAAUUACCUUGGAGGUAGAGUGGAGAAAAAGAUAGUAGCUGAUGAUAAGCCAUUCAUUGAAGUUGAAUCACACUUUGCUGAUGCAAAAUUCUACUUGAUGAAUUAUGUCGUGAAUGAGAAAAGGGUUAAAGAUGUCACUAAGACCAAGUGUAAUGAUCUUGAAUCUAAGAAGGCCACGGUGACUAUUGCAAAAGUCACCACCAGGAAGCCCCUCUUCACUUUGAAUAAAAAAAGCAUCGCUCCUACAAAAAACAAGGCAACUCCUAUUCUUUGCUACGUGCCAAAGGUAAAAAAAGAAAGAAAAAUCACUCACAUGAUGCCCAAGAUAAUAUGCUAAAGGGGAUAACUUUACCUAUCAGGAAGAUUGACGCAAUAAAUCUAUCCUCAAGGCCCCUUGGGGAAUCUGUGGCUUAAAAUUCGUCACAAGAUAUGACACUCCCUAUGAAGCGUAUGAAAGAGGGCUUUGAUCCAAAUGCAUACAAGCUAUUUUUAAAGGAUGGAUACAAUUCUAAUGAGCCAUCAAGGUUGGGCAUACUUCCCUCGGAAGGUACAAACAGGCAGGCACAUGAAGGCCUAGAAUACAUAGUCACCUCCAAUUCGAAUCUCCAUAAAAAGGGCAGUCAGUAAUUACAUCACCGUGGAAGAAGAAUCUACUGUUGCUAAAAGACCCUCUGUCUUUGAUCGACUUGAAGAACCAACUGCAAGAACUUCUAUUUUUGAAAGAUUGGGACCUCUAAAUAAAAAUAAAAGUAACAAGUGUCAAAUAAGUCAUCAAAGUAUAAUGAUGCACUCUUUAUUUAAAAUUCAGAAGGAUUUCCAAAGUUUAAUCCCUUCCAGAAUGAGGCGACAGACAGAACUGGUGGUUUCAUGCAAUAAGGUGUUAAAAGUUAAAACUCAUACUGUGGUGUAUACCAAGGAAUGUGAGAAAGAUGCAUAAAGUGUUGGCUCCUCAUAUCAUGUUACGAUUUAAAAUGAGAAUGAGGCCUCAUCUCAAAUAAAGGUUGAUGAAGAGAUAGAAGACAUUUUCUGGUGUCACCAUAUAUCCAUCAAUAACGAUGAUCCUCCAGAGGGGGAAGAUGUUGGAGAUGCUCCAUCUCAACUUGAAUAAGGAGUAAAUGCCACAAUAGAUCCCCUGAAGGAAGUUAAUCUUGGAACUAAUGAAGACCCAAGACCAACUUACCUGAGUGCGUUUGUAGAAGUAGAGGAGGAAGUCACCUAUAUGGACAUGCUCAAAGAAUAUAUGGAUGUCUUUUCUUGGAGAUAUAAGGAAAUGUCUGGCUUAGAUCCGAAAGUAGCAGUCCAUCAGUUGGCAGUCAAGAAUGGUGCCCGUCCUGUUAAGCAAGCCCAAAGGCGCUUUCAGCCAGAGUUGGUUCUAUUAAUUAAAAAUGAAGUUAACAAACUCAUUGAAGCUGGCUUUAUUCGCGAAGUCAAAUAUCUCACGUGGAUUUCAAGUAUUGUUUCAGUACGAAAGAAGAAUAGCCAAAUUUAAGUUUGUGUUGAAUUUUGGGAUCUCAACAACGCAUGCCCUAAGGAUGACUUUCCAAUCCCUAUACCAGAGUUGAUGAUUGAUGCCACCAUUGGUUAUGAGGCAAUGUCCUUCAUGGAUGGUUCAUCCGGCUACAAUCAAAUCUUCAUGUCACUAAAGGAUGAAGAACUCACUGCAUUUCGUACGCCCAAAGGUAUUUAUUGCUACAAAGUGAUGCCUUUUGGUUUGAAGAAUGCUGGUGCCACUUAUCAAAGGGAUAUGCAGAACAUCUUUGAUGGCCUGCUCUAUAAAAAUAUUGAAUACUACGUGGAUAAUCUAGUGGUAAAGUCAAGAAAGAGAUACGACCACUUAAAAGACCUAAGAAUGGUAUUCGAGUUACUUCAAAGAUAUCAACUUAGGAUGAAUUCAUUGAAGUGUGCCUUUGGAGUUACUUUCAUAAAGUUUCUUGGCUUCAUUGUACGACACCUAGGAAUUAAAAUUAAUCAAGACAAGGUCGAUACAAUUUUGAAGAUGCCCAAGCCUCGAAAUAUUCAUUAGUUAAAAAGCCUUCAGGGAAGGCUAGCAUAUUUAAGGAGGUUCAUCACAAAUCUGGCCGAAAAAUGUCAACCAUUUAGUCGUCUCAUGAAAAAAGACACUCCCUUCGAAUGGGAACAAGCUUGUAGUAAUGCCUUUAAGAGUAUCAAAUCAUACUUAAUAAAGCCACCAGUUCUUGCGGCACCCAUACCUGGGAAACCAUCGAUACUCUACAUCGCAGCAUAAAAGAGGUUAGUUGGAGCACUACUGGCUCAAGAAAAUAGUGAAGGCAAAGAAAACUUUCUUUACUAUUCGAGCAGAAUAAUGACGCCAAAUGAGCUAAAGUAUUCUCCAAUUGAAAAGUUAUGUUUGUCAUUGGCCUUCUCAAUUAAAAAGAUGAAACACUAAUUUCAAGCUUAUGUUGUCUGGUUUGUGUCUAGGGCAAAUACCAUCAAGUUUGUAAUGUUGAAACCAGUCCUUACUGAUUGACUUGCAAGAUGGUACCUUCAAUUUCAGCAGUUUGAGAUUGUGUACAUUCCCUAAAAGAUUGUAAAAGGACAAGCACUGGCUGACUUCUUAGCAGACCACCCGAUACCUGAUGAUUAGGAACUGAGUGAUGAACUUCCUGAUAAAGAUGCAUAGGUCAUUGAAGCUAGACCCCCAUGGAAGAUGUAUUUUAAUAGUGUCUUACAUCGAGACAGAGUUGGUGCCGGUGUGGUGUUCGUCACUCCACAAAAAGAGGCCAUCCCAUACUCUUUUACCAUAAAAAACCGUUGCUCUAAUAAUAUUACUGAAUAUCAAGCUUUAAUACUUGGACUUGAGAUGGCAGUUGACAUGAAACAACUGCAAUUACAAGUCUUUGGUGACUCCCAAUUAGUAAUCAAGCCACUUUUGGGAAGCUAUGAAGUCAAAAAGCCUGAGCUACGGCCAUAUCAUGAUUAUGCAUAGAAGUUGAUGGGGUGGCUUAGAGGAGUAACCCUCCAACAUGUGACAAAGGGAGAAAAUAAGCAAGCUAAUUCCCUAGCUGCUCUGGCCUCAAUCGUGACUCUUCCAAAUCAGACCCAAGUUAUUGUCUGUCAAGAAUGGGUAGUACCGCCGUCAGAUAAGGAUGUAGAAAACAAGGUUGAAUACCUCAUUGCCGUGUCUGAAGCUGUAAAAGAAGAUUGGUGACAACCUAUCAUUGAUUACUUAUGUUAUGGGAUACUUCUAAAAGAUCCAAAAAGAAUGACUGACUUUCGUCGUCUUGCACCUCACUUUCUUUACGACAAAGAAACACUAUAUAGAAGAUCAUUUGAAGGAGUACUCUUACGGUGUUUGGGAGAGGAAGAAGCAAUUCAAGCUUUGUAAGAAGCACACGCGGGAGUUUGUGGAUCAUAUCAGUAUGGACCGAAGCUCCAUUAUCACAUUAAAAGGAUGAGAUAUUAUUGGCCAACGAUGAUGAAAUAUUGCUUGGACUAUGCUAGAAGAUGCAAAGCUUUCCAAUUCCAUGCAAACUUCAUACAUCAACCCUCAGAAGUACUACAUCCAACUGUAGCGUCUUGGUCAUUCAAUUCUUGGGGAAUAGAUGUUGUUGGUCCACUACCAAAGUCUUCUGGUGGACACUUAUACAUCUUGGCCGCAACAGAUUACUUCUCGAAGUGGGCCAAAGUUGUUGCUCUUAAGGAAGUAAAGAAAGAAAAUGUUGCAAACUUCAUCCGAAUAAAUAUCAUCUACCGCUUUGGAAUCCCUCAAUAUAUAAUAACUGAUAAUGGCAAGCCGUUUGAUAAUAAACUGAUGAAUAAAAUUUGUGAUCUCUUUGGUUUCAAGAAGGGCAAGUCUUCUACGUACCAUGCUACUGCCAAUGGUCUAGCUGAAGCGUUCAAUAAGACUUUGUGCAACUUAUUGAAGAAAGUUGUCUCCAAAUCCAAACGAGACUUUCAUGAGCGAAUGGAAAAAGCUUUGUAGGCGUAUAGGAAAACUUACCGUAGACCGACGCAAGCAACCCCAUACUCACUUGCUUUUGGAGUUGAAGCAGUCCUGCCACCAUACUCACUUGCUUUUGGAGUUGAAGCAGUCCUGCCACUUGAGCGUCAAAUACCUUUUUUAAGACUAGCUAUUCAAGAAGGCUCACCGAUGAAGAAAAUGCUAAGUUGCAUCUUGCGGAGUUAGAAGCUCUUGAAGAAAAGAGGUUGGAGGCUCAACAAAAUCUUGAAUGCUAUCAAGCCCAGCUAUCUCGUUCUUUCAACAAAAGGGUUCGCUUUAGGUGAUUCCAAGUUGGAGAUCAAGUCCUUAUAGUAAGAAGGCCCAUUAUCACUUCUCAUAAGUCUGGGGGCAAAUUCACUUCUAAGUGGGAUGGACCAUAUGUCGUACAAGAGGCAUAUUGAAGUGGUACUUACAAGCUUGUCGAUGCAGAUGGUAUGAGGGUUGGCCCCAUCGAUGCCAAGUUCUUAAAGAAGUACUAUCCUUGAAGGAAGAUGACACUCCUUAAGGCACGAGUAUAAACUGCAUGUACACUCAUUAAGGCACGAGUAUAAACUGUAUGUACACUCCUUAAGCCAUGAGUAUAAACUGUAUGUCCACUCCUGGCCCGCAAGAGUAUAAACUAUGUACGGUUCACAAAAAAUGAAAGUCCGUUAGGUUGAAAACCUCAAAAGAGGUGUCCUAGGCAAACGUUAGGAAAAAAGGAAAAAAAACUCUCACCCAGAACUAUGUUGUGACUUGAUCCUCUUUACUGAGGUACGUAGGUGCUUGGAAUUUCAUUCUGAGUUCAGUUGCAUGAGUGUCAAAAAAUAAGUAUUUUCCUGCAGUAUCUACCAUAUGGAUACCAAGUAUGAAACUAUUCUAAUUAAAUUUUGAACUUACUCUAAAUAUUUGUGACUCAAUGGGGGCAACCCGUCGAAAAGAAAGGGAGUUCUUUCAAAGGGAUUUGGAAUGCCAAAGUUCUUCAAGUCUAACUAAAAGGAUCUCAAAAGUUCCAUGCCUUAAGGUGGACAAAAUUUGUCCCUUUACACCUUCAGCUGGCCUCUCACGGGUUUAUCCUUAAAAGGAUAUAAAAAUUUUCAUGCCUUAAGGUGGACAAGAUUUGUCCCUUUGCACCUUAAGCUGGCCUCUCGCGGGUUUAUUCUUAAAAGGAUCUUAAAAUUUUCAUGCCUUAAGGUGGAAAAAAUUUGUCCCUUUGCACCUUAAGCUGGCCUCUUCUGUGUUUAUCCUUAAAAGGAUAUAAAAUUUCCAUGCCUUAAGGUGGACAAGUUUUGUCCCAUUGAACCUUAAGCUAGCCUCUUACGUGUUUAUCCUUAAAAGGUUAUAAAAAUUUCUAUGCCUUAAGGUGGACAAGAUUUUUCCCUUUGCACCUUAAGCUAGUCUCUCCCGGGUUUAUCCUUCAAAGGAUAUCAAAAUUUUCGUGCCUUAAAGUGGACAAAAUUUGUCCCUUUGCACCUUAAGCUAGCCUCUUACGUGUUUAUCCUUAAAAGGAUAUAAAAAAUUUCCAUGCCUUAAGGUGGAAAAGAUUUGUCCCGUUGCACAUUAAGCUGGCAUUUUGAUGGAUUUGUUAUGUAAAGGGACCGUCUUGAAGUCAAAUUGGUCGGUCUUAGAGUGUACGGAGGCAAAUUUAAACUCCCGCACCCUAAGCCGAUUGUUGUAAAUUCAGCAUCUUGAAGUCAAAUUGGUCGGUCUUAGAUUGUACAGAGGCGAAGUUAAACUCUCACACCCUAAGCCAAUUAUUGCAAAGUCUGCAUCUUGAAGUCAAAUUGGUCGGUCUUAGAGUAUACGGAGGUGAAGUUAAACUCUCGCACGCUAAUCCGAUUGUUGCAAAGUCAGCAUCUUGAAGUCAAAUUGGUCGGUCUUAGAGUGUAUGGAGGUGAAGUUAAACCCUCGCACCCUAAGCCGAUUGUUGCAAAGUCAGAAUCUUGAAGUCAAAUUGGUCGGUAUUAGAGUGUAUGUAGGCAAAGUUAAACUCUCGCACCCUAAGCCGAUUAUUGCAUAGCCAUCAUCUUGGAGUAAAAAUUGGUCGGUCUUAGAGUGUACGGAGGUGUGGCUAAACUCUCGCACCCUAAGUCGAUUGUUGCAUAUUGCUAUUUGUUUCAACCCUGCAAAAAGAAAAACGGGAAAACAAGAAAGAAAGUAAAAACACAAAUAGAAAGGAUGUUACCUGUCAGAGUGUAGCAAUCUUAAAAGUUGUAUAUCACCAACUUGGAUCUUGAAGUCAAAUUGGUCGGUCUUAGAGUGUACGGAGGCAAAGUUAAACUCUCGCACCCUAAGCCGAUUGUUGCAAAAUCAGCAUCUUGAAGACAAAUUGGUUGGUCUUAGAGUGUACAGAGGCGAAGUUAAAAUCUCGCACCCUAAGCCGAUUAUUGCAAAUUCAGCAUCUUGAAGUCAAAUUGGUCGGUCUUAGAGUGUACAGAGGCGAAGUUAAACUCUCGCACCCUAAGCCGAUUGUUGCAUAGUCACCAUUUUGAAGUCAAAUUGGUCGGUCUUAAGGUGUACGGAGGCGAAGUUAAACUCUCGCACCUUAAUCCAAUUGUUACAUAUUUUUUUCAACCCUACAAAAGAAAAAAAAAAGAGGAAACAAGAAAGAAAGCAAAAACACAAAUAGAAAGGAUGUUACCUAUCAAAGCGUUGUGAUCUUAAAAGUUAUUUAUCACCAACUUGGAUUGAGUCAAGAUGCCUUUAUAAGAAUAAAUCCCUCAAAAUAUAGUUUGAGGCAAUCAAAACGCCCUUUGGUGGUGAUGGUGUCACAUCAAGAAAUAAAUUAUUUGGUGAGGAAAUGCAAAUCUGGAAUCCUCUGACGGACAGCAUAUAAGAUCAACUUUGAAAAAUUAUCUAGAACAAUCAAAAUAGUAUUAAAAUCCAAAUUUUGGAUAUUUUAUACAUGCAUGUUUACGGAAUCUAUAGGAUCAAUCGGAUCAUAAUUUUGGUACUCAAACAUUGAGAUAUAAUUUUUUGGGUGAUUUCGCGUAAAUCUGAAAUUGUUGAUGCAUCAAAACUCAAUAUUGAUUUCAGGAUAACACCUGAAAAUAUCUCAAUUGUAUUAAAUUAUAAAUUUUGGAUAUGUUAUAGAUAUUUGUGUCUAGUUUCACAAGAAUCAAGUGUAUUGUAAUUUUAUCCUUCCUACUUCAAGAUAUGAAAGUUUUAGUAAAGAUGCACAGAUCUGAAAUUUUCAGCAUGAUAAAAUUCAUGGCUAAAUUCAAAAAAAUUAUCGAGAAUUAUAUUGAAGGAAUUUGAAGAUGAAUUUUGGAUAUGUUAUAUAUCUCGAAGUUUAUUUUCUUUAAUAUCAAACGUUUCAUAAUUCUGAUAUUCCUACAAUUAGAUAUGAAUUUUCCACCACUAACAUAUUGUGCUGAAAAAAAGGGACAAAAAUAAGAGAAAAGUAGGAGGGAAAGAAAUUACCUCAAUAUUGUUGAUGGCUUGAAAACCCCAAAAUUGAUAUUGAAAAAUGGAUAAACUACCUCCUUUUAUAGAGUUGUAGGAUGGAUGUUUUCUUCUCCAAUAUAAAUUCGGAUUGGAAUAACUUCCAUCUCAAAUUCAAAUUGGAGAUUGUUUCUUUCUCCAAUAUAAAUUUAGAUUGGGAUAGCUUAUAUCUCCAAAUUCAAAUUGGAGAUUGUUUCCUUUUUCCAUACAAAUUCAAAUUGGAGGUUAUUUCCUUCUCCCAUACAAAUUCAAAUUGGAGGUUGAUUUUCUUCUCCCAUACAAAGUCAAAUUGGAGGUUGUUUCUUUCUCCAAUCUAAGUUUAAAUCAGAAGAGUUUUAUUCCUGUUUAAGGAAGGCAAUGAAAAAGUCUUCUAAAACUGUUUUAAAUUGGAUAUCAUACCUCACCAAUGGGUCUAAAGUAUAGAGAUUCAUGAAAAAAAAUAAGAGAGCUUUGAGAGACAAUGUCAAUAUGGUUCGACUUUAAAGUUUUUGAAUGAGGAGUUCUUAUGUAUGAAAAAUCGUUGAAGAGCGAAGGAAAUAUGUUUAAAUAAUCAUAAUUCAAGGCUAGUCUCUAAAAUAUUAAAUGUCUCGACAAGUCUUGAAGUAGGGGUCAUUUGUGGGGGAUGCAAUUUUAAUAAAUUUAAAUCCAUACAAAAUUCGGAUUAUAUUAAAUUCAAAGUAUAUUAUUCCCAAAUAAAUAUUGUGGAUUAAUAUAAUUGAAUUAAUUAUUUAAGUCCAAAUAGGUAUGGAUUUAAAUAAGGCCCAAUAUUUAUUGGGUUAGUCCAUUAAUUUGGGUUACAAGUGAUGAGCCCACUUUACUAAGCCCAAGAUAUUGUCAUAUUCUAGAGGCCCAAAUAAGCACCACGUAUCAAAUGACGUGGCAUGCCAAGUCAAGUGAAGGAGCAAAUAGAAUCGUGCCACAUGUUAAACUGAUGCAGCAGGCCCAUGAAAUAAAAGCCCAUAAAAGGCGCCACAUCACUUAAAUCUGAUUGGUCAAAGGAAGUCCAUAUUCAUCAUGAAUCUUCCUUUCCUAAUACUAUAAAUAGGGGCCUAAUAAUUUAGAAAAAGAACCCCCAAAACUCUAAUAAGUAGCAAGAGAAAGCUCGUAGAUCAAACACCAUAUUUUCUCUAAAAAUCUCAAGCAUUCAAAUCAAGUUCAUCAAGAUUCAAAAUCAAGACCGCAAUAUUCAAGAACAAGCUCAAAAGCCCUUGAAUUCAAGCACAAGUCAAGAUCAAGUCCCUCAAAGAAUUCAAAUCAAGUUCAAAUUCAAGAUCAAGCUUUAAGCCCUUGAAUUUAUAUUUGAAAAGGCGAAUCAGAGGAUUCAUAGAGAUUGUAACACUCACAUAUUGAAAUCAAUAAAUUGAUUGUUGCAACAUAUUUUCUUGUCUCGAUUAUUUAUUUUCAGCCUCAAAAUUUUAUUGUCCAACAAAUUUUGGCCAAAUCUGCCCUUCAUCUCUUCUCCAUAAAUCAAACAUGCAAAUCUGUAGCCGUAGGAUCGUAAAGAUGGAAGUAGUACUUCAAGACUCGUCUUUGAGUUUCAUCAAGUCUACACUUCGACAAGCCUUGAAGCAGGGGGCAUUUAUAGACAUUGAAAUUUUGUGGACUCUACAAAAAGAGUUCAAUUUUGAUUAGAGUUCUUGGGGGCUACUUUACCCUAAAUCUAGCUUGAUUGCUACUCAACCUAAACCCUAAAUUAUGCCUAUAUAAAUGGGGCAAAUAUCCAUUUAAAGAGGCAUCUCCAGUAUCCCACAAAUUCAAGGGAUUCACAAAUAGAUCAAAGAUCUGAAAAGUUUCAAUAAAUUCAUGGGAUAUUCAUAAAGAUCAAAACUCUCUCUUCUUGAUAAUCAAAUACAUCAGGAAGACAAAUCCUCCUUUCAUGGAGAUCAAAUCCAAAUGUUUUUACGUUUGAGAAAUAUGUCACUAACGGCCAUCGAAUUACGGAGAAAUUCAUAUCCAAAUCUUCAUACAUUCGAGAAACAUGCUAUUGACGGCCCUCGAAUUACGGAGAAAAUCAAGAGAGAAGAAUCAAGGGAGGAACGAAUUUGUACCCCCAUCGUUUAUCAAUAAAACUGUUGUUUCUUCAUAUUUUUAUUUGUGGUUGAAUUUUAUUUUCCAUGAAUUAAAUUAUAUUGGAAACACCAAUCAACAAAGAAUUUCACCAAAUCAAUUUUAAAUAUCCUACAUUAAAAAAAAGUAACCAAUCAACAAAGCAUUUCACCGGAUCACCCAUCGAGCUUUAGGCAAAAUAUUUUUUGAAGCAAGUAACGUUGGGUGUAUUCAUUAGCAGAAACACCAGACAAAUGACCGGAAAUAAUUAAUUUCUCUUAACUAUCAUAGCUUUUUUGUAACUUCUUUUGCUUAAGUUCUAAUAUACUAAAAUUCAGAUGUAUUCUUUGAAUCCUUCAAUUCUUUAGCUAAAGAUCCCAGUAUGUUUAUAAUCUUAUUUAAUAGUGUCACAAUAAUUCUUAAAUAGAUAUGAAAAAAAAAUGAGUUUUGACAACUUAAUCAGCAAUGAAAAAAUUAUUAAUUUGAUAGAACAUAUUAUUCAUCGACGAAAAGCCACAUUCUUUUGCAUGCUAUGAUUUCUUUUCCUAAAUCCUCAACUUGAUUCUCUCAUUGUUUUAAGGAAUGGGGGAGAAAAUAUGAGUGAAGGAAUGCUAAGGGAGAAAGGAAGAAAAUCCAAGAAUGUUUGAGAAACUGAAAGAACAGAUUUAAAAGACAAAAUGUUAGAGUACGCGUCCUACUAAUUGCCUAUAUAUAGAACAGGUAAGUAAACGUGGUUCACAGAAGUAAAACUGAACACAGUAUUUUUACGUGGAAAACACCCUGCUCAAGAAAGGUGUAAAAAACCGCGACCUGUACCUCUACAGGAUUUAACCCACAACUUCACUAAAUUACUUGAGCCUCAAUAAUCAAUAAAAUUACAAGACUUCUUGUAACCUAGGAAUUAAAACUUCUAACUCCUAUCACUACAAAAACACUAAUCUUCCCAAGAUAAGUGUUCCCAAGUGUUUGAGUUUCCAAACUUGAAGACAACAACUCCUAACUCAGUUUAUAGAUUACUAAGACUAGAAUCAAUAACUCAUUACAAUACAAGAACCUAAUGACUACACUGGUUAUGACCUGCUAAGUAAGAGACUAGGUUCUUCUUCAAGUAUAUGAACUGAUGUGCUGAUUGUUGAUUAACUUUUUAGUGCUUGAGUGAGUAUCAGGCUUUGUGUCACGUUUGUUGUAUUUAAUCCAACCUAUGAUAGAGUCCUUUUUCAUAUCUAAUUUGUUCUCCAGUAGAACUCUAUCAGUUAACUCUUUUCCUUUUGUUGCCGCCUCACUUGUCCUAGAUUUAAUAGGACUCUUUUUCUUCAAAUCCUCUCCUUGCUGGACUACUUGAUCAACUAGACUUCUUCAAGACUCCUUGUUUGACUCAGCUUCUGAUGUGAUUUAUGUUAGCUAUGCUUGUCUUGUACGCAGAAUCAUAUCAUUCAGACUCCUGCGCCAGCAAGAGUAUUUCACUUGAAUGGACCAACUUCUUCAAAUUGUUUCAUUCUCAUGUCUAUCAUCAAAACUCCUUCAUGCCUUAACACAAAAAUUAUCUUUACUUCUGAUUUAAAUUGUGGAGAGUUAAAACAUGUCCUACUUUUUUUGUAAAAUGUACAGCAAAUUAAGUUGUUUUCAUCCUAGGCUCACUCUUAAAUAUAGUAGAAUAUAUAUAUAUAUAUAUAUAUAUAUAUAUAUAUAGAGAGAGAGAGAGAGAGAGAGAAAGAGAGAGAAACAACAACAACAAACUUAGUGUAUUCCCACAUAGUGAGGUCUGGGGAGGGUAAGAUGUACGCAGUUUAUACCACUACCUCUGAAGAAGUAGCAAGGCUAUUUUCGAUAAACCUCCAGCUCAGUGUGGUAAAUGUAUUUAAGAAAAUUAUAUUGUGUAUAUGUUUGUCUGUGUGUGUGUAUGAAAUAAAAAUUAAUUAUUAAUUUUUAUGAAAGCAUGAAUGGAUUGCAGAGAAGGUGGUAAACACAUGCAUGAAGAAAUCCACACGAAUUGAUGAAGGAAAGAUAUUUAUAUACCUAAGUCAAAAUAAGAAAAUAAAGAAAGAAAUUCAAAGCCUUAGGGUUUUUUCCGGUAGAGUGUAUAAGAUAAUAUCGAAUAAGGUGACUUAGUAAUGUUGAGAUUAGUAGAGCUAGAUUAGUAAUAUUGGGAUUUGUAAUGCUGGAAUUACUUUUUAUGCGGUAUUUGGUUUGAUGUAUUGAAACCAGUAUAUAUUGUUAUAUUUUAAAAAUAAUAUUAUUUGUUUACAAAAAAUACCCUUGACAUACUAUAACUUUAUGUAGUUUCUUUGUAAAGUUUUUUUAUUAUUUUUUAAAAAUAAAAAAAUCAACAAUAUAACUAAUAACUUACUUUGGAAUUUUAAGAUUUAAUCAUUCACUUGCAGGAAAAAAAAAUUGUUAUCUUUUCUUUAUUUACUAAUCAUUUGUUUGUUGUUCCCACUUUAUGGUGUUCUUAAGUUGGAGGGAGGUACGUGUAACUUUUGAAUGAGAUAGUAGAAUCAUUAUUAACAUAAAAUUGUGUUACGUAAGUGUUAAAGCUAAGCAAAAAUAUUAUUUUUAUUUGUGAUAUAUCCUAUUUACAAAAUUAAAGCUAGUAUCCAAUCAUGCAAUUUAUUUUUGAAUUUUGACCAAUAAGUAUUUUUUAAGUUAUUGGUGUAGUUUUUUAUAUGACUAAAAUUAUUUGGAGGGAUAUUAUCAUCUUGGUAAAUUGUAACGAAAUAACUCGAAUAAAUUGAAAAAGAUUUAGAAAAUAUUUAAAGGAAUUCGAGGGCAUUUUUGUCUUUACUCAUGUUUAUCCAUGUAUUGUAAUCUAUGGAUUACUAAUCCCACCAAAUUAAGGGGUUGUUUGGUAGAGUGUAUAAGAAUAAUGAAAAAUAUGGUGUAUUAGUAAUACUUGUAUUAGCAAUGCUUGUGUUAGUUAUACUUGCAUUAGUUAUGCUUGUAUUUUUCUUAUGCAGUGUUUGGUUCGAUGUAUUAAAAAUAACAUGAAUUACAUAAUUUCUAAUUUUUUUAUAUUUUUUUACAUAAUACCCUCAAUAUAUCUGUUGGAAAGGAUGCGAAAUUUUUUUUAAGGAUAAUAAUGUCUUUAAGCAUGUUAAUACAUGCAUUAGUUCCAUUGCAUUACUAAUGUCAUGGAUUUUGAGGUAUUAGUAAUACACAUCUCAUAUAGGGUAAAAAUAUAUACCAAAUAAGGUACUAUUAAUACACAUUAAACUAAUGCAUGCAUUAACUUUCCAAUACACUCCACCAAACGACCCCUAGUGUAUUAGUUAUACACCCUAUAAUACCAUGUAUAAUGUAUAACCAAUCCAUGAAUUAGUUAUAUAUUGCUCCAAAUUUUCUAUCAAACAAUAUAUUAAAUAAUACCAUACUUUAAUAUAUGAAUUAUCAAAUUAAUAAACUCUACCAAACAGCUCCUUAGUGGAUUCCUUUCUAAUCAUGACUAUAAGUUUAGAGUUUUAAAAUUUGAAAGGUAGCUAAACUCUCAGGCCAUCCAGAAGAGGGAGAGUUUCAAGUAUUUGGGGUCUAUAAUUCAGGGUAAUGGUGAGAUUGACGAUGAUGUCACGCAUCGUAUUGGGGCAGAGUGGUUGAAGCGGAGGCUCACUUCGGAAGUCCUUUGUGAUAAGAAGGUUCUCCCAAAGCUUAAAGGUAAGUUCUACAGAGUGGUAGUCUGGACGGUCAUGUUGUAUGGAGCGGAGAGUUGGCCAGUUAAGAACUCCCAUAUCCAAAAAGUGAAGGUGACAGAGAUGCAAAUAUUGCGAUGGAUGUGUGGACAUACCAAGAAAGAUAAGGUGAGGAAUGAGAUUAUUCAGGAGAAGGUAGGAGUUGCCUCGGUAGAAGAUAAGUUGCUAGAAGUGAGGCUACGUUGGUUCGGGCAUGUGAUGAAGAGGUGUCCUGAUACUCCAAUGCGGACGUGUGAGACUCUGGCUAGGGAUGGUUUUAGGCGGGUUAGAGGUAGACCAAAGAAAUAUUGGAGGGAGGUGAUUAAGUAUGAUAUGGAGCAAUUACAGCUUACAGAGGACAUGACCCUUGAUAGGAAGGUGUGGAGGACGCGGAUUAGGGUAGAGGGUUAGGGGUGGUAGCGUGGAGGUAGUAAUAGGGGAGUGCUCAUUCGGGUCUGGAGUUUCUAGUUCGUAGUGUUGUGGCUGCAGUUUGGGGCUAGUAGUGUUGACUUUUUUGCAUCCCGUACUAGUUUAUUACGCACUUAUCUUUUGUGUUUGUUAUACGAUUAGUUUGUUUUAUGUACCAUACUAGUUUAUAUGUGCCUACUUUUUGUAUUUGUUAUACUAUUAUUGGUCCUAAGCCGGGGGAAUAUCGAAAACAGUCUCUCUACUUCUCUUGAGGUAAUGGUAUGGUCUGCGUACACUCUACCCUCCCCAGACCCCACUGGGUAUGUUGUUGUUGUUGUUGUUGUUGUCUAUUUAUGGCUAGCAGGGCUUUUAAUUAAAGGCAGAGAGUUUCUCAUUUGUUCAUCUCACAAUGGAUGGCAUUAUUUUUUUAUCUUCCAUAAGAAAAAUCCUACAAAUCUAAUUUUUCUUCUUCUUCUUUUUUUAUGUAUAGGAUAAAUAUUCAUUUACUCAUCUAUAUCUCAAAUAUUCUAAACAACUCCAUACUUAUUUAUCUUUCAACUUCUAUUUUUUUCUCUCUCUUUUUUAAUUUACUUUAAAAAAAAUUUGUAGUUUUUCUCAACUCUUAUUUUUUUUUCUUUUUACUUUAAAAAAAAUUUGUAGUUUUUCUCAACUCUUACUUUAUUUUCUUUUUCUCUUAUGACCUUCUUUUUUUUUCCUUUUUUCCUUCUUUUUAUUUUAUUUUGAUUUUUUUCUUUUCUCUAUUUUUUUUUUUAAAUUCACAACCCUUACUUUUUCUCUUUUUCUCCUAUCAACUUCUAUUUUUUAAAAGAAAAAAAUCUCCUUUUUAAUUUUUCUUUGGUUUAUUUUUUUUUCUUUUCUAAUUUUCCUAUCCUUUAUUUUUGUUUUGUCUCUUUUUUUUUUUUCUCAAUCUUUAUUUUUUAUUUCUUUCUCCUCUCAACUUCUAUAUUUUCUUUUUCUCUUUUUUAUUUUCUUUGAUUUUUAUUUUUUAUUUUUAGAUAUUUUUCCUUAUUUUUUUCUUUUUUUGCAACUUUUAUUAUUUUUCUUUUCUUCAAUUCCUUCCAACGACAAGGUAUGCCCCAUGGACAAGAGUUAGCACUAUAAGAUUGUAUCUUAAUUUAUGAUAUAUUUUAUAAAUGACUUUGAAAUAACAAGUUACAUUUAAUGAACAAGAACUGGCACUACCGCAUUGUGUUUUGAUUUAUGAGAUGUUCUAUAACUAUUAUCUUAGAGGUAAGAAUUAACCCAAAGACUUUCAAGCAACAAGUUAUGCCCCACGGGCAAGAGUUGACACUAUCAAAUUAUGUCUUGAUUUAUGAGAUGUUCUACGAUUCUUACCUUAGAGGCACUACUUAUCCCAAGGAUUUUCAAAUAAUAAGCUACAUACAUUGGAAAAGAGUCAACACUACCGCAUUGUGUAUUUUACUAAUGGAAUGCUUAUAGCUCUUGUCUUAAAGGCAAGACUUAGCCCAAGGACCAUCAAACAACAAGUUAUGCCCCAUGGGAAAGAGUUAACACUACCACACUAUGUAUUUAUUGAGAUGCUCUAUAACUCUUUCCUUAAAGGCAAGAAUUAGUCCAAGGGCUUUUCAAGCAACAAGUUACGGCUCAUGGGUAAAAGUUGACACCACCACAUUGUGUUUUGAUUUAUGAGAUGUUUUAUAACUCUUGUCUUAAAGGCAAGACUUAGCCCAAUGACUUUUAAAUGACAAGUUACGCCAUGUGGGCAAUAGUUGACAUUACCGCAUUAUGUCUUGAUUUAUGAAAUGAUUUAUAAAUCAAAGAAUUUCAAAAAACAAGUUAUGCCCCGUGGGUAACAGUUGACACUACCAUAUUAUGUCUUAAUUUGUGUGGCGUUCUAUAACUCUUGCGUUAGAGGGAAGGCUUAGUCCAAGGACUUUCAAAAAACAAAUUACGCCUCAUGGGCAAGAGUUGAUGCUACCACACUGUGUCUUGAUUUAUGAGAUGUUCUAUAACUCUUGCCUUAGAGGCAAGACUUAACCCAUAAGUUACGCGCCAUGAGCUUGAGUUGACACAACCACAUUGUAUCUUGAUUUAUGAGAUGCUCUAUUAGCUUGCCUCUAAGACAAGACAUAUCCCAUGAACCUCCCAAAAGAAUGAGUUACGCCCAAUGAGCAAGUGUUGACACUACCAAAUUGUGUCUUGAUUUAUGAGAUAUUCUAUAACUCUUGCCUUAAAGGCAAGACUUAUCCUAAAAGACUUCCAAAUAACAAGUCAUGCCCUUAAAUUUACUUCGAUGUCAAAACAAAAAGAAGAUCCUUUUGCGGAUUAUCCAACUUUCUAGUUAGCAAAAUAAAAUAGAAGUUGAGAAAAAGAAAAAGUAGAGAAAAGAAAAAAAAAGACUGAGCAAAAAAGAAACAAAAGAGAAGAAAAAAAUAAAGGUUAAGAAAAACGAUGAGAAUGGAAAAGCCCCAAAAAAAUAAAAUAAAGAUUGAGAAAAUUGAAAAUGAGAAGAAAAAAAUAAAAAUAAAGUUUGAGAAACAGAAAAAAAAGGAGAAAUGAUAGCAACAAAAAGUAAAAGAAAAAUAAAGGUUGAUACAAAUGACUAAAAAAAAGUAAAAUAAAGAAAUAGAUAAUAUUUGACAAAAAAUAAAAAAAGAUAAAAAAUUAAAGGUUGAGACAAAUGAAUUAAAACAAAAAAAAAAGAAAAUAAAAAACAAAAAAGUAGGAAAAAAUAAAAAAGAAGAAGAAACAAAAAUAGAAGUUGAGAGACAAAUGAGCAUGAAAAGUUUGAAGUGUAGAUGGAUAAAAAUGUACUUGUUCCGUAUAUAAAAAAAAAAAAAGACUAGUGUUUAAAGACUUUUCUUAAUAGGGACAAAAAAAAUAAAGGGAUAAUUACAUAUCUUAGCAAAUUCAUAGUCUCACUCAUUUAUUUUCUCUCUUUCUAUAUUUUCUAUCACUUUCCUUUUUUUCAAGUUAUUUUCUUCAUUUUUUCUUUUCCUUCUCUUGUUUUCUCAUUCUUUUUUUCUCAUUUUUCUUCCUUUUUUUCUUCUUCAUUUUUUAUUUUUUUUCUUUUCAUUUUUGCUCCUUUUUUCUGUAUGUUUUUCUCUUAUUUUUUGUUGUUGUUGUAGUAUUUUAUAUUUUAUAUUUUUUAUAUCAUACUAUAUAUUUUAAAUAAAUUUAUUAUUUGUAGUUGAAUAGCUUAAUCUUGAAUAUGUACAAUUUAUCAUUUGUAUUUGUAUACAAAAAAGUAUAUUAAUUAAUUAUAUUUUGUUUGGGUCUUAAAUAUAUAAAUAUGCAAUGUGUCAUUCAAUGCAAAUGUAUCGUUAGUAUUUGUAUUUCAAAUUUAUCAUUUGUAUUUGUAUAUAAGCAAGUAUCAUUUUGUAUGCAUAUGGUUCAAGUUGUAUAACAUGUAUCAUUUGAUGCAAAUAUAACAUUUGUAUAAUUUAUCGUUUUAUAAAUACAAGUAUUCGUAGAAAGAAAAAUAAAAUUCUUUUAAAAUUAUUUAAAAACACAUAUGAUAUUGUCAACUACAAAUUCAAAUACAAAUAAAUGAAUUAAAAAUAAAAAUAUAAUAUGCGGUCAACUUAUAAAUAUAAUAAAAAAUAGUUCUUUCAAAAUACAAGUGUAUCGAUAAAAAUAAUGCACAAAUAACAAAUAAAAUAAAACCACAAAAUAUAAAUAUAAUGUACAGUCAAUUAUAAAAUACAAAUACAAAAUAAUUCUUUAAAAUACAAAUGUAAAUUGUAUAAAAUAUAAAUGAUGGUGCAAACUAGUAAACAAAAAUACAAGUGUGAACUAUAAAAUGCAAAUAUAAAUGUGAACUAUAACAUACAAAAACAAAUGCGAACUAUAAAAUACAAAUAAAAAUGCGAACUAUAACAUACAAAUAUAAGUGCGAACUAUAAAAUAUAAAUACAAAUGAGAACUAUAACAUACAAAUACAAGUGUGAACUAUAAAAUACAAAUGCAAUUGCGAACUAUAAUAUAAAAAUACAAGUGUGAAUACAAAUACAAAUGCGAACUAUGAUAUAUAUAUAUAUAUAUAUAUAUACAAAACAAGCGUAAACUAUAAAAUGCAAAAUACAAAUAUAAUUGUAUCAAUGAAUACAAAUAUAAAUAAUGAUAUGAAUAUAAAUACGAUAAAUAAUUAUGGUAUUUUUAUUAUUAUUCGUGACUUGUACUCGAGUAGCCAUAUUUUUUUAAAAUACAAAAAAUAUAAGAUAGAAAAAAAAGGUAGAAAAAAGAAAAUCAAAAAGAAAAAAAGAACCAAAAAAAAAAAAGCAAAAUAGAAGAUAGAGAUAGAAAAAAAAAAAGAAAAAGAACCAAAAGAAAGAAACAAAAAGGGGAAAAAAUAUAAAAGAAAAGAACAAAAAACACGAAAAAGAAAAAGAUACAAAAAAUGAAAGAACAAUUAGAAAAACAAAAAAGAAAAAAAAAUAGAAAAAAAAAGUAAGAAAAAUCAAAAAAGAUAAAAGAAUAAAACUUUAAAAAUGACGGUAAAUACAAAUACAAUGUGUGGUUAUGAUGUUUCUGUUGUCAUCCAUGGCUUGUAUUCGAUGUAGUCAUAUUUUUUGAAAAUAAAAAAUAUAUAAAAUAUAAAAUGUGAUUAAUAUAUUUAUGUUUUAUAUGGAUACAAACUAUUGAGUAAAAGCGAAUACAAAGGAUUUGAAUCGAGUACGUCAGCUAUAAAUCUUAAUCUAUAUCUAUAAUCUAUAAUAUAUUAAAAGUACGAAGGCCCUUAGAAAAGUGCUUUGAACUUUUUCCUUCAUUAAAAGUCUUCGCAAUAGAUAAAAUUAUCUUUUUAAUAUUUUUAAAAAAAAAUCAUAUUUAAUCAAAUUAAGGACUCCUAAAAACAUACAAAUAGAAAUUAGACACUCCUAAAAUAUAUGGGAUAAAAAAUAAGGACUUUUAAAAUAUAUGAAAAGAAAUAACCAGUAGGAUAUAUAUAUAUGGAAUUCUAAUAAAAUAAAUAUAUUAAAUUUUGAUUAUUAAAUUUUUUUAAAAGCCAGAUAAUCCAAAAUAGAGAUUCGGAUUCUCUUUUUAUUAUUGUAGUUCUUAGUUGUUUUCUUAAAAUAUUUUUAUCCGUGCCAAAUUUUUAUAAGUAGAGAUUCCACUUCCAUAAAAAUGCUUUUAUUUUUGUUCGUUAUGUGAUUUAUGUAAUGUUUUUUUCUAAAUAGGAGUUUAUUUGUCUUUUUCUUUAAAAAAAUUUCGUGUUUUAGCUUUUUUUUUUUAGGUGUUGAAAUCUAUAAUAUUUACUUUUUAAAUUCCUUUUUUAUUUAGACAAUAUUUACUUUUUAAAUUUCUUUUUGGUUUAGGGUCUCUGAUAUAUAUAAAAAAUAUUAUUGCACAAUCUCAUUCAUGAACUUUAUCAUUAAUGUUUCUUUUGUAUUUCUAGGUUUUCUUUCUUUAUGAAUUUUUCUUUUAUAAUAGAUCUUAAUGUUUGUCUUAUUACUUUCUCUUAUGUUUUCCGCCAUAAAUAUAUCAUUCAUAUUCUUUAUCAAAAUUCCAGGUUCUUGAAGUGAAUUUGUUCAGAGGUAUGUUUUCUAAAAGUUUAGACUGAUUUUGAAGUUUACAAUAAUAAAUGAUGUAUUUUUGAUAAAUAAUUAUAAAUUGAGAAAUUUCUUUGUGAGUUUUGUUUAUAGUAUUCCAUAUACAAUUAGUGAUUUGAAAUUGAAUUAUUCACAAUUUUGGACAGAUUAUUUAGAUUGUCCCAUUUUGUCACGAGAAAUUGGUUGUGUACUAUUGCUUUUCAGUCACUUCAUGUUUGGCCUUACUCUAUCUCAACUAAAGGAGUUGUACUAUUUUGAAACUCUAUAAGGCAUGAAACCUAAAAAAACUCUCAAAAGAAAGAAUAUUUGUUAGCUCAAUCAGUGGUCGGUGUAAAAGAAAUUACACAAAAAAUAUUUUCUCAUAUACAUACAUACUUUAGCACACAAAUAUCUUUUUUUAGCAUACGAAAGAGAUACACAAAUCCAAUUGUUUAUUUUACCUUUUUUUUAGUUCAUUUCAAUAUCCAAUUGUUUAUUUUACUUUUUUUUUUUAGUUCAUUUCAAUAUCUUUUUUUAAAAUACUCUAUUUCUAAACUUUCAUACAGUACAUUUAAAACUACAAGAUUAAAGUAUAUUUUAAUAUAUUUCACAUGUCUGUAAUAAUUAAAAGAGACAUUAGAAAAUGUAUGAUAAAUUAUCAUGUUCUUCACAUUUUUUUCUUAAAAUAAAUGCUGAUUUUUAAAAUUUUUAAAUUAAUAAUAUAACGUACACACAAUAAUUUAAUCUUUUGAUAUUCAUUUAUUUUUAAUUAACUAUAUACACGUGCAAAACACGUACACCUAAACUAGUAUUAUAAAGUGUGGCUAUGGAAGGUGAAUUUUGUGCAAAAUUGUUGCUAUUUUUGAAGGGAAGUUUCAAAAAUAGCAAAAGUUUGGCACAAAACCCACCUUUUGAUAGCCACAUUUUACAUAUUUACUAUUUAUAGCCGUUGUAUUCGAUUUACAGUUGUUGUAUUCACUUUACUCAGUGGUCUGUAUUCAUAAAAAACAUAAAUAUACUACAUAUUUAGUCUCACAAAAAACACUACCAUUUUUUCUUUUUUAUUUUUUUAUUUUUUUCUUUUUAGUGUUUUCCCCGGUUUUUUCUUUUCUUUUUUCUAUUUUUUUUGUUUCUUUUUUUUCUCUCUUCUAUCUCUAUUUUCUAUUUCUCUUUCUUAUUUUCUGUUGUUCUUUGAUUUUUUUGUUUUCUUUUUUGUACUUAUAUACUUGUAUGCAUUAGACCAAUAAAUUGUGAUUAUUUCUUCCCUCCCAAUUGGUUCAAGGUCAGGAAUCAACUAUUUCAUCUAAUAAUUUUAAUGUGCAAUAUACGAUUAAUGAAUAUACCAUGAUGCAUAAAAAUGGAUUCCUCAAAUAAAAUAAAGGAUGUAUGUUAGUUUUUCUAACAUAAGGGGGAGAUUAUAAGCGGCUAUGAAACAUGUUAGGAAUUAUCAUCAGAUCCUCAUUCAAAAGAUAGUUCAAGUAAAAUACUGAAAGCAUCUCAUAUCUAAGCUGCAAGUGCUCUUAUUUUGUGUUCUUAAAUGACAAAGUCUACCCAUACAUGAAGAGUGGUAGACCAAUCGGUUCCUUGAAAUAAUCUGUGAAAAAUAAAGAGCAAAUAAUCAUAAUAAGAAGGUAAUGUACUCUUGAAGAGCCUACGACAUAACACUUCAUGAAACCUUAUGAGAGGUUCAGGUACCUGAGAAUAAUGAAGUGAUGAGAUCUCAAAAUGUUAUGUCACAUUGUGAACCGAUACAAAAUGAUAUAUCAUCGAUAAUAUCUUUCAUACAAUAUUGACGCAAUUAAAUAUUACGAGGAUCCGAAUUCUACGUUAUUUAAGCAUGUUGACGAAGAAAUAUUUAUCAAGUAACGUGAAAGGAUACAUCUUGGUAAGUAUAAAACUUAUUUGAUUUGCAGUCCAUAUACUUAAAGAUGUCACUCAUGUAAUGUUGAAUAUUGUCACUUGAAAAAAUUUACAUGAAAAUUUAUUUAAGGAUUCAAAAUGUUUGAAGCAUAUAAAAGUUUCAAGAAAACUUAUUUAUAAUCCUUAUAUUGCAUAAGUUUAUAACUUGAAAAUUAUUAGAACUCUUUGAGAGUAUUCAAAAGCAAUAGAUUAUUGGCUGAAAUGAGAAAUAUUCCAAAUUGGACUAUUAUAAAGUACCAUAUCUUAGUGCAAUUGAUGCACAAAUGUAUCUUGCAAAUACCACAAGGCCCGAUAUAGCUUUUUCAGUUAAUUUGUAAGAAAGGUGUAAUUCUUCUCCUACUAGGAGACAUCGAAAUGGGAUCAAAUACAUAAUUUUAUUUUGUUCUAAAGAUUGCAGUCCCGAUCUUGUUAGAUAUGCAUAUGUUGGGUACUUAUCGGACCCGUAUAAAGCUCGAUCUCAAAUAAGUUAUGUGUUCAUAUGUGAGGAUACUGCUAUAUAUUGAAGAUAUACAAAACAGUCUAUCAUAGCUACCUCAUCGAACAGUGCUGAGAUAAUAGCUAUUCAUGAAGUAAACCGAGAGUGUGUGUGGUUAAGGUCCAUGAUACAUCUCAUUCGCGAAAAAUAUGAUUUGAAAUGUGAUAAAGUACCCAUGACUUUUAUGAAGAUAAUGCAGCAUGCAUAGCAUAACUUAAGGGAGGAUUCAUAAAAGGAGAAUGAACAAAACACACUUCAUCAAAGCUUUUCUGUACAUAUAAUCUCCAAAAGAAUGGUAUUAUUAAUAUACAACAGAUUCGUUCAAGCAACAUGUAGCUGAUUUAUUCACCAAGUCCACUCCAAUUGCAACUUUCAAGAAGAUGGUGCACAAGAUUGGGAUGCAAAGGUUCAAGGAUGUUCUCAUUAGGAGGAGUUAAUACGCGUUGUACUCUUUUUUCCUUAUGAGGUUUUGUCGCAAUGAGUUUUUCUUGUAAGGUUUUUUUAAUGAGGUAACCGAAAUAAGUAUGUUAUAGAUGUGUACUCUUUUUCCUUCACUAGAUUUUUUGUCCACUAGAUUUUUUUCUUGUAAGGUUUUAACAAGAUACAUUAUUUGUCAAUUAGACAUUCAAGGAGGGUGCUAUAAAUAUAUUACCAUAUAUAGUGAAUGUUUAUUUUACCAUAUGUAGUGAAUAUCUAUCUGUAAUCUAUAAUAUAUUAAAAGUGUGAAAACCCUUAGAAAAGUGAUUUGAACUUUUUGCCCUUCAUUAAAAGUCUUCGCAAUAGACAAAAUCAUCUUUUUAUCCUUUUUCAUCAAUUAUUAUAUUAUUAUUUUUAUAAUAUUUUAAGGACUCCUACAAUAUAUAGGAGGGGGUAAUAUAUGGGAAGAAUUUAGAUGUCUAUUUUUGAUAUAUUAGGAAAAUAAAUAUUGAUUAUGGUAGGUUUUAAAGGUAAUUUGUCUUUGACUUGGACAUUAGUUAUGUUUAUUUAAGGUUUAGUUAUAGUUAUUCAUGAUACGUUGUUCUUUUUUUGCUACACACGACAACGAUUAUGUGUAUUCAACCUAUUUCUUAUACUAAUUGUAAUACACAUUGGUAGGCUUUCUAUUAAAUAUCUGAUUUAAUUUGUUUAUGUUUUUUGUUUAUUUGAUUGAAAUUGUUAUUCAAGAGAUCGUUGGCUUGAUCCAUGACACAUAUUUUCACACGCAAGAAACAAAGUUGAUUCGUUUUCAAAACAACAACGGAAGACAAUAACGCUUUUUGUUGUUGUCUUAAUUUGAGCUUUGAAUUAUAUGCAGUAAUAUGCAGUUGGGGAAAUAGACAAAAUUAUCUUUGUUUUGUUGACAUCUGCAUUUUUCUUCUACUUUUUUUUUAUAUUCAGGUUUUCGCUGGUUUUCUAUCAACGAAUGUUUUUUCUUAAAUUUAGAUACCCACUAUGUAUGUUUCUUUCGUCAUGCAACGUCUUUUCUCUAUAGUGAUUUUAUCUUUCCUAAGCACUCUAAUACUUAAUAGAAAAUUAUGUAAUUAUUAAGAUCUAUUUUGAGACUAUGCGAUUGUGUAGGAGGCUUUAUUUAAGGAUACUCUUCUAUCACCAAAAUUUAAAAGCAAGUUCUACAAAAUGGUGAAUUAAAUUGGCUAUAUUGUAUGAAGCGGACAUGGCACAAUUUUCUCUUACUAAUGCCAUGACCUUAGAUAAGAGGUCAUGGAGGACACUGAUUAGCGAGGAAGAUUAGUUAGACAGUAGUGAACCAUAUUUGAUUUUCUUAUGUCUCUAUCUAUGAAUAUUCACUUCAAUAUUUUCAAAGUUUUUUCUCGAAACAAGAUUAUGUUGGGCUUAAUGUUUUGCUUAAACAUUGUUGAAGGACGAAGGAAAAGUUUGAGUAACUUUCUGCCUAAUUCUCGGUCAGCUACUGAUCUCUGAAAAGGUUCAGAAACUGUUUAGGUGGAGCUUUGAGUUUUAUUCAUGAAUUAGAGGUAAUUGUCAGUAUUAGACACGUCAAUUUGUUGAACUUGAGAGGUUUCACUGUCACAUUCUUUUUGCAGGGUCAUCAAAGAAUUACUGUUUGUGAUUGAUGAAAAAUGAGAGUUUAUAUGAUCAUUUAUUUGGGUGGAAAUGCAAAAAUUGAAUUGGCCUAUUAUUCAAAAAAUUGCAAUUGAUAUAGCUAGAAGCUUCACUUGCUUGCAUUAUGGAGCACAACGACUGUCACUCAUAGGGGCAUAAAGUCAAGUAAAUAUACAUUUAGACGAAAAUUUAUGUCUAAGAUUGCGAAUUUUGAAAGAAAAGAAUGCCAAGAAACCAAAUCAACGAAGAAAACUUAUAGUACAUUGGUUGACAAAAAAAAUGAAAGUAAAUUGAAGGUUGAAGGCAUUAUUGAAAAAGUGACAAAUUAAAAGCAGUGUGUUGUAAUAAUGUAACAAAAUUACUUAUUUAACACUUUGCAAGAUGUAAAACUCAAUUACUAAAAUGCAUUGCGAGAAAGCAAAGAGGAAAUUAAAAAUAACAAAUUAAAUGACAUGAUGCGCCUAAUUGUUCUUUGAGGCUACAAUUCGCGUCCUGUAAUCAUGCAAUGAACUGAACUAAGUCACAUGACAAUUAACUGACUCUGAGAAACAAAGAAGUUAUUAAUGAAUAGUGAGUAAUGAUUAGUACAAUUAUAUAUGGUCAAUUAGGUAGGGCUAGCUAGAAAUAUAUUUAAUUUGGAUCCAUCCAAGUGAUGCAUUAGAUGAAUAAUGAAAAUAUUGUGAUGUAGUAUCAUGACUAGAUGUAAUAUAUUGAUUUUCUUUCUAUGGAUUACUAUCUAGAAGAUAGCAGUUACAUUGUAGAUAUAGCCACUCCGGCAAAUAUAUUAUAAUUUAGUCUUUCUAUUCUUAUUUUUAAUUCUUUACGUUUUUCAGAGAUAAUUUGUCUUAAUUCUUUAUAUUGUUGUAUUUUAUUCAUUUUAAAUUAUAUUUAUAAUAUCUUGGUGGAUAUCUAAAUCUAAUUUUAUUAUAAUUAGGCGGUAUAUAUUUCAUUCUUCUAGAUUUUAAAUGUGUUAUUAAUUUUGAUUCAAUACUAGAUAUUAAUGUAAUUAAAUAGGCUAGUUUUUGUGGAUUUUCUUUUGUUUUAUUUAGACUUAUAUAUUCUGAAUAAUUACUAAUUAAUGAUUUUUUUAUUUUUCUAAAAGCUUCUCUAUUUUUAAAUGGUCUUCGCAUAAUUAAUUUAAUAUUUUCGUAGGUAAUUUUUUAAUUUUUUAACUUUAAUUCUAAUUCUAAUUCUAAUAUAUAUCUCUUCCGUACUUUUUAGAUUACUGGGCUCUGAUACCAUUAGGGGGGUGCGCGGAUUUAAUUAAAUAGGUAUAAUAGAUUUGGUACAUAUUUGUAGUGAAUCUAUUUUUAUUUAGUGCGUGGAUGUUAUCUUUUAAUAAUUUACUUUUUUCGUAAGAUAUAUUCAUUAAUUAUUUUAUCCUGUAGUAAUUACAGAGUUACAAAUUCUUGUAUAAUAAUUUAUCCUAUCUGUGCUAUAAUAUAUAUCUAAUUCUAGAUUUUCAAUGUUAUUUAUUAUUUUGUGUUGUUCUUCUCGUAGUGAGUUUUUUAAAUUAUAUAAACUAUCACAUGUACUUUUAUCUAAAUUUUCUAAGGUUUUUUCUAUCCAUAUUAAUUUUUCUUUUAGGUCUUUCAUUAUUUGUCUAAUUCGGUUUCUAUAAUUAAUUUCAUUAUUUAGAUUUUCUUGAUUUUCUCUAGUUUGUCUAAUAUAUUCUAACAUUUUUUAAUCUGAAUAAUAUCCUUCUGGGUAAAUUUCUUCGUAUAACUGUUCUAGAUAAUUUAUAGUUUCAAUUUCGUAGUCUAUUACUUUUUCUAAUAUUAUUUUCUUAAUAUCUAUAAUUUCUAUGUUUUUAAGUAUAUAUAAUAUUAAAACUUUAAGAUAAUCUAAAUGAUCUAUUUUUAAAAUUGUUUUGUAGCUGUUUGUUUUAGUCUUAGUAGUUUUUGCAUAUUUUUAUUAAGAAAUUUUAUAUCUUUGUUUUCCAUGUGUUUAUUUUUAUUUUUUCUAGUAACUGCAAAAGUUUUUGUUUUUAUCUUCUUUUUUUUUUUAUGUAACUUAUCACCUUAAGUAUUUAUAAGAGUCGUUAGGUAUUUGUGGUAUAUAGCUUAUUCUAGACAUAUAAUUUUUACCAAAAGCUUUUUCUAAUAUUAUUUUUCUUAUAUCUGCUACUUUUAUAUUUCUAAGUGCAUACAAAAUAAGUAUCUUGAAUUUAUCUACCAUCACAUCAGAUAUAUUAUCAUUCAUUUUUCAUAAAUUUGCUUUUUUCAAAAUAUUCCCUUCAAUCACGUACACAACAAAAUAUGGUCAUAUUGGCUUACUAUAUACUAGAUUAUUCUUAAAUAAUAUGUUCUUCCGUCACUAUUAACAUGGUAAUCUGGAUACUUUUUCCCUUAAACAGCGCCUCUACUCUGGUUACUCCCCGCCACGGCUUCUUGCCUCAUUGGUUUCACCUUUAGGAUGGCAUAGUCCUUAGGGAUAUUUCUCCGUUUCCUCUUUGUUAAUAAACUUCUUAACAUAUUAUUCUUCGAAUAAUUCUACUAUAAAGUAACUAAUAUGAAUUUAUUUUAUCAUAUCAUGAUUGUUGGGAAUUAUGAAAUUAGCUAUUCAUAAUUAUAAAUAGAUAUACCUGUUCCGGUAGCUUUGAUGUUUCUGAGUUUUGUUGUUCCUGUUGUUCCAUAGCUUUUUCCAUUGGAGUAUAUUUUUCUAAUUAACUGAGUAAAUUUUUUGUUUGUGGAAUGGAGAGAGAGAUUUGUUUCAAAAGAAGGCUU
rnacentral:lncRNA from 1 species